AUUUAAUAACUUUAAAUUUUAUUGUAAUAUAAUUGAUUUUGUCUGAUUCAAAUCAACUUUUGUUGAAUAGGUAAUUUACAAACUUGGCUAUCUAAACCUCUAGCAAGAACAUUUGGAUAAUCAGUCAACUACUACUAUAACGUAAAGUGUAGCAAUUAUUACUGGCAACUGGAAUCAUACCUAUUACUAAAUAUAUAUUGUUAAGACCGUAACGUUUAAGUGAAAUAUAUUAAAAUCAAAGCAUAAAAUUAAUUUUGUGUCUCCUAAGAAUAUCGUAUUAUUCGAGUAUCUAUUUCGGAUUUAUUGCAAAUAUGCUGUUAAAAUUUAUCGUAUCGUAUGUUAUUAUUUAUUCUUUUAUGCCGGUGUCAGUACACGGUAUAGGUGAGCAUACUCCUUCACCUCCACCGCCAUCUCAUCUCCCUGAUGAUCCGUAUUUCGAGGACCCUGGCAAUCCCUCUAUUUCUUAUGCACCUUACAUUCCAGGUACUCCUGGUAACCCUCCCCGUCAGAUUAAAAUACAUUA
rnacentral:lncRNA from 1 species